UUCGUAGAUGGUUCAUUUUUUUUUUGUUAAAGCUUGAAAAUAAAUUUCAAAAGUGCUUAAAAUAAAUGUGAGCUUUGAGUAUAAUAGAGGAUAACAGAAUUUCAUACAUAGGAGUGAAAUCCGAUCAUUUAUGGAAGAAUGCCAAAAGCGAAAGCAGUUGUCUGGGUUAUUACUGACAUUGAGGAACGAAAGCAUAGGUAGAAAC
rnacentral:rRNA from 1 species